rnacentral:rRNA from 1 species
GACGAACGCUGGCGGCGUGCUUAACACAUGCAAGUCGAACGGAAAGGCCCUGCUUUUGUGGGGUGCUCGAGUGGCGAACGGGUGAGUAACACGUGAGUAACCUGCCCUUGACUUUGGGAUAACUUAAGGAAACUGGGGCUAAUACCGGAUAGGAGCUCCUGCUGCAUGGUGGGGGUUGGAAAGUUUCGGCGGUUGGGGAUGGACUCGCGGCUUAUCAGCUUGUUGGUGGGGUAGUGGCUUACCAAGGCUUUGACGGGUAGCCGGCCUGAGAGGGUGACCGGCCACAUUGGGACUGAGAGACGGACCAGACUCCUACGGGAGGCAGCAGUGGGGAAUAUUGCACAAUGGGCGGAAGCCUGAUGCAGCAACGCCGCGGGCGGGAUGACGGCCUUCGGGUUGUAAACCGCUUUCGCCUGUGACGAAGCGUGAGUGACGGUAAUGGGUAAAGAAGCACCGGCUAACUACGUG